rnacentral:lncRNA from 1 species
UCAAACAGGACCUUUUCUUGCAGGAUCUACGGCCUGAAGAGAAUGAAACCACUGAAAAAUGAAAUAGAAUUCUCCAAGGGACUCUACUCCACGGAAAGAAUGUUGCUACUGGAAAACUUCUACAGAGAUGCAGUCCAGACAUCAGCACUGUUUGCAGUCCUCUGCUCGAAGGUGGGGCUCUGCAGUCUCCCGGGCACUCCUGGAGCCUGGCUUUAUACCGCGUCUCCUUCUGAUGGUGGGACGCCAGUGGGAUCUGCCCCAGGCCCAAGAGGACCCCUGCAACAGCCAAGUGGAGAAGCCACCAGGGCCUGCGUGACAACCAAUCACAAGACCCUUUUACCUCACUUGGGAUAAUGAUGCAAUCGCUCGUCUCUAAUUUUUAAGAGAAGCAGACACAGCAAGCAAGAGGAAUUCCAACCACAGAGGGCUUUUUUAAACAUAAUUUUGAGAAGGCAACUUUGAACAAAGAACUUGCAGACGUGGUGUAACUCCUUCUUAUUAGAGAUGAGCAAGCUUUCCUUGGAAGGACGUGAAGCCCUUGGCAUAGACUGCUUAAGAAAAAUAGUUAACUGCUUAAGUUAAAAUAGUUAAGACAACAGUUAACAAGAAAGAGAGAAAGAGAGAGAGAGAGAGAAGAAAGAAAAGAAAGAAAAAAGAGAGAGAGAGAAAGAGAGCGAGAGAGAAAGAAAGAAAGAAAAAGAAAGAAGAAAGAAUUCCUUUGAAGUGUAGUCAUCAGGGAAGCUGGCAUCUUUCUCUCCCCUGUCACUGUGGGAGGGGAGGAGCCAACUUCAGUGGGCGUCUUGCUCCAAGCUGUAAAACCACCUCCUGUCAUAAGAUCAGAGAGUUUACUUCCUCUUUUUGGUAAAGCCAGUUGGCAAACACAGAUGCCCACCAUCUCCCUCUCACGCUAGCACUUCAAAUCCUGCCUGCACUUCUGUUCCAGCAGAGUCCGUUCAGACUUGGUUCCAGUGUCUCUUCCCUAUCGCAACAGCCUUGAAUCAAGUUUUCCCCGUCUGUUCCACUUUUCUGGGUACGAGGUUUGCUUUCGCAGUUCCCAGCUUGGUGACAUGGCAGCCACAGUGGUCAGACAGUCCCUAGGAACCCCAAACCCGCCAGGGAGACCACUGGCGCGCGGGUUAUGGGGAGACGCCUAACGUCAUGGGAUUGACUGGUAGGGUCCCUUCUCUGGUCUACCGGGCUGACU